AUUGAACGCUGGCGGCAUGCCUUACACAUGCAAGUCGAACGGUAACAGGUCUUCGGAUGCUGACGAGUGGCGAACGGGUGAGUAAUACAUCGGAACGUGCCUAGUAGUGGGGGAUAACUACUCGAAAGAGUGGCUAAUACCGCAUGAGAUCUACGGAUGAAAGCAGGGGAUCGCAAGACCUUGUGCUACUAGAGCGGCCGAUGGCAGAUUAGGUAGUUGGUGGGAUAAAAGCUUACCAAGCCGACGAUCUGUAGCUGGUCUGAGAGGACGAUCAGCCAAACUGGGACUGAGACACGGCCCAGACUCCUACGGGAGGCAGCAGUGGGGAAUUUUGGACAAUGGGCGAAAGCCUUAUCCAGCAAUGCCGCGUGCAGGAUGAAGGCCAUCGGGUUGUAAACUGCUUUUGUACGGAACGAAAAGCCCUGGGUUAAUACCCUGGGGUCAUGACGGUACCGUAAGAAUAAGCACCGGCUAACUACGUGCCAGCCGCCGCCGUAA
rnacentral:rRNA from 1 species